rnacentral:lncRNA from 1 species
GUAUAUAUACAUGUACAGGUGUAGGAUAUGCAAAAAAAGCCCUUUAUACAAUGGGGUAAAUAGGCUACAUGGCUAUAUAAGUACUCUAACAACCCCCCCCCCCUCCUUUACGAAUGGGCUAGGAAGAGAGUGGAUGUCUCGUACAGAAGGAAUGAUAAUGAAGCACAUAUUGACAGGAAGAAAGUCCAAUGUGAGAUGGAUGAACUCCUGUUGAAAGAGGAGACGAUGUGGAAGACAAAGAUCCAGAAUUGAGUGACUUAAGUGUG